rnacentral:tRNA from 1 species
GGGGCGGAUGUAGCCAAGGGGAUCAGGGCAGUGGAUUGUGAAUCCCCCCAUGCGCC